UGACAUGGCCUAAAUACACUAAAGGCACCAGAUCCUGUCUGAUCUUGGAAGCUACACAGCACUGGCUCUGGUUAGUGCUUGGAUGGGAGACCACCAAGGAAAACCAGAUGCUAUAUAGG
rnacentral:rRNA from 1 species